rnacentral:rRNA from 1 species
UACGUAGGGCGCAAGCGUUGUCCGGAAUUAUUGGGCGUAAAGAGCUCGUAGGUGGCUUGUCGCGUCCGCUGUGAAAACCCGAGGCUCAACCUCGGGCCUGCAGUGGGUACGGGCAGACUAGAGUGCGGUAGGGGAGACUGGAAUUCCUGGUGUAGCGGUGGAAUGCGCAGAUAUCAGGAGGAACACCGAUGGCGAAGGCAGGUCUCUGGGCCGCAACUGACACUGAGGAGCGAAAGCAUGGGGAGCGAACAGG